rnacentral:rRNA from 1 species
AUUGAUUUUAUGCUUGCAUAAAUGAUUUUUGGAUUCGGAGCGAGUGGCGAACUGGUGAGUAACACGUGGGUAACCUGCCCCGAAGCGGGGGAUAACAUUUGGAAACAAGUGCUAAUACCGCAUAAUUAGUUGGAACCGCAUGGUUCCAACUUGAAAGAUGGCUCUGCUAUCACUUUGGGAUGGACCCGCGCCGUAUUAGUUAGUUGGUGAGAUAAAAGCCCACCAAGACGAUGAUACGUAGCCGACCUGAGAGGGUAAUCGGCCACAUUGGGACUGAGACACGGCCCAGACUCCUACGGGAGGCAGCAGUAGGGAAUCUUCCACAAUGGACGAAAGUCUGAUGGAGCAACGCCGCGUGAGUGAUGAAGGUUUUCGGAUCGUAAAACUCUGUUGUUAAAGAAGAACAAGUGUUAGAGUAACUGUUAACACUUUGACGGUAUUUAACCAGAAAGCCACGGCUAACUACGUGCCAGCAGCCGCGGUAAUACGUAGGUGGCAAGCGUUGUCCGGAUUUAUUGGGCGUAAAGCGAGCGCAGGCGGUUUUGUAAGUCUGCUGUGAAAGCCCCCAGCUCAACUGAGGAAGUGCAGUGGAAACUACAAAACUUGAGUACAGAAGAGGAAAGUGGAACUCCAUGUGUAGCGGUGAAAUGCGUAGAUAUAUGGAAGAACACCAGUGGCGAAGGCGGCUUUCUGGUCUGUUACUGACGCUGAGGCUCGAAAGCAUGGGUAGCGAACAGGAUUAGAUACCCUGGUAGUCCAUGCCGUAAACGAUGAAUACUAGGUGUUGGAGGGUUUCCGCCCUUCAGUGCCGCAGCUAACGCAUUAAGUAUUCCGCCUGGGGAGUACGACCGCAAGGUUGAAACUCAAAGGAAUUGACGGGGGCCCGCACAAGUGGUGGAGCAUGUGGUUUAAUUCGAUGCUACGCGAAGAACCUUACCAGCUCUUGACAUCUUCUGCCAACCCAAGAGAUUGGGCGUUCCCUUCGGGGACAGAAUGACAGGUGGUGCAUGGUUGUCGUCAGCUCGUGUCGUGAGAUGUUGGGUUAAGUCCCGCAACGAGCGCAACCCUUAUUAUUAGUUGCCAGCAUUUAGUUGGGCACUCUAGUGAGACUGCCGGUGAUAAA